rnacentral:rRNA from 1 species
UAGGGAAUCUUCCACAAUGGGCGCAAGCCUGAUGGAGCAACACCGCGUGAGUGAAGAGGGGUUUCGGCUCGUAAAGCUCUGUUGUUAAAGAAGAACACGUAUGAGAGUAACUGUUCAUACGUUGACGGUAUUUAACCAGAAAGUCACGGCUAACUACGUGCC